rnacentral:misc_RNA from 1 species
GAAAUGCGAUAAGUAAUGUGAAUUGCAGAAUUCAGUGAAUCAUCGAAUCUUUGAACGCACAUUGCGCCCGCCGGCAUUCUGGCGGGCAUGCCUGUUCGAGCGUCAUUUCAACCCUCGAGCCCGACUCUUUUGAGGACGGCUCGGCGUUGGGGGACGGCAGACUCCCCCCGGCAUCUCGCCGGGGACGCCGCCCCCGAAAUCUAGUGGCGGCCCUCCGAGGCGACCUCUGCGUAGUAACUUGUUCUCGCACCGGAAAGCUCAGAGCGGCCACGCCGUAAAACCCCAACUUUUUUCAGGUUGACCUCGAAUCAGGUAGGACUACCCGCUGAACUUAAGC